AGUGAACGCUGGCGGUAGGCCUAACACAUGCAAGCCGAACGGCAGCACAGUAAGAGCUUGCUCUUACGGGUGGCGAGUGGCGGACGGGUGAGGAAUACAUCGGAAUCUACUUUUUCGUGGGGGAUAACGUAGGGAAACUUACGCUAAUACCGCAUACGACCUACGGGUGAAAGCAGGGGAUCUUCGGACCUUGCGCGAUUGAAUGAGCCGAUGUCGGAUUAGCUAGUUGGCGGGGUAAAGGCCCACCAAGGCGACGAUCCGUAGCUGGUCUGAGAGGAUGAUCAGCCACACUGGAACUGAGACACGGUCCAGACUCCUACGGGAGGCAGCAGUGGGGAAUAUUGGACAAUGGGCGCAAGCCUGAUCCAGCCAUACCGCGUGGGUGAAGAAGGCCUUCGGGUUGUAAAGCCCUUUUGUUGGGAAAGAAAGGCAGCAGGUUAAUACCCCGCUGUUCUGACGGUACCCAAAGAAUAAGCACCGGCUAACUUCGUG
rnacentral:rRNA from 1 species